rnacentral:rRNA from 1 species
AUUGAACGCUGGCGGCAGGCCUAACACAUGCAAGUCGAGCGAGCGGCGGACGGGUGAGUAAUGUAUGGGGACUGCCCGAUAGAGGGGGAUAACUACUGGAAAAGGUGGCUAAUACCGGAUACUGUCGGAAAACCAAUAUGGGAUUAGCUAGUAGGUAAGGUAAGGGCGUACCUAGGCGACGAUCCCUAGCUGGUCUGAGAGGAUGAUCAGCCACACUGGGACUGAGACACGGCCCAGACUCCUACGGAGGCAGCAGUGGGGAAUAUUGCACAAUGGGCGCAAGCCUGAUGCAGCCAUGCCGCGUGUAUGAAGAAGGCCUUCGGGUUGUAAAGUACUUUCAGUCGGGAGGCGUUACCGACACAAGAAGCACCGGCUAACUCCGUGCCAGCCGCCGCGGUAAUAC